CUGGAUAUAGCUCAAUCGGUAAGAGCAUCAGACUCGUAAUCUGACGGUCGCGGGUUCGACUCCCGCUAUCCCAA
rnacentral:tRNA from 1 species